CUCGGCCCGCUCUGCGGACGGCCUGUAGGGCCCGCCCGCUGUUUGCUGCGUCCUGGCGGUGUGCUGUCGCUGAGGAGGCGGGAGCCACAGCCGCCCCACAGCGUCCCGAGGCCGUGGUUCUAAGGCCCAGCCGUGAUUUUUCGGCACGCGGCCGUAUUGGAGGCGGGGCCGGGCGAACUCUGUCCGGGUCUGUACGUGUGUUCAGGAGUGCGCGCCAGGACAGGCCUCCCCUGUUUUGGGCAGCACCUCGUGUGCCUGGCAUCGCGAGGGAACUAGUUUCCAUGGCUGUGAAUUCGGGGGCCUCGCUGGAGCCUCCGGUGUGCUAGGGUCUGUGCUAAACCCUCGAGAUGCGUGACAUAAAAGCCCCGCCGUUACACUUCUCCUUCUGCUGUGGUGAAGAAUCAUGCCCUUAAAAUACUCUGACAGGCAUUUUAGGAGAAAAGAAAAAUUUUGUGGGAUCUCCGAAGGAGCACUCCCCUCUUCGGGAUUGGGGCUGGGGAUGAAGGGAGCAAGGGAGAGGUGAAAGAGCAGAUAAAGCUGGAUGCUUUAUUCACCCUGACAAAAGUGUGCACACCUGUAAAUAGGGCUUUUGUCCACCUCAUAAUGCAUCUCCCUGGCAGAAAUAUCGCAAAGUGAAAGCUAACAAUGGCUAACAGCACACAAAAUUUGUCAUUAACCAAAGAAUGAUGCAAAUCUUUGAUGAAACAGAUCUGCAAAGAAUUUGACACAGGAGAAUUAGAUAUGGUAGAAAUAAUAGCAGCCAAGAGCAAUUCAGAAGGCAGAAGCUAUAAUUAAUGAAAUGACAUGGUUACAACUAUUUAAAUAGAAUGUUAAUUUUGUUAACGUUUUUCGGUAAAAAAAUAAAAUGGGAGAAAAUUGGAGCAAUUUAAGAGUAAUAAAAUUGAUCAAGGAAUAAAACUGGCUUAAUGGAGUUUUCAUUCUCUACCCGUAUUAUUCAAUAUUGGCAUAUCUGGUUAAAACCUUUUAUGAGAACAACUCUACAAUCAAUAACAGCAUCAAAAGGCCCUGGGCCACUUCACGGCUUAUAAAGAGGUAAACUUAAGCCAUUCCCAACAGGCAUAACUGAAGCAUAGUAGGAAAAAACACAAGUUUUAGUAUGAAAGGGGCCUGGAUCUUUGUCAGUGGUUUUCCUCUUGCUCACUAGGUUUCCUUAACCAAGCUGUUUGGCCUUUCCAAAUCCUGACUUACUCCUCAGUAAAAUAGGGAAAUACUCUACCUCCCAGUCAUAUUAUCUCAUUAAUUCUCAAAGCUUCUAGCACAGGACCUGACAGAAAAUGGUAGACUCUGUCAUUUAAACUCCAGACUUUUCCACUCUAACCAACAUCUUGGCAGGGGAAUCUAGAAUGUCAUACACUUCUCUGCCUCCUUAAAAUGUUUUACUAAACAAAUUAUGCCCUUUCCUGGAGGCCUCAGAAUCAUCAUUAUGACCAACUCUUGCAUUAUGCUAGAGCAGCGCUCCAGCCAUGAGGCGAAGCCCUCGGCACUGGUGCUGGAGCUUGAACAUCAUGGGUCCUGUGGUCUCCUUUCUUACAGCACCUUUUCAUUACUGGGACUGAGAAGCCAUAAUCAAGAAGUGCUAAGAGCAAGCGUUCACCUUUAUCCCUGCAUCUGCAAGGAAGGAGUCACUCAUCAGACCUGGGAGAACAGGACACCCUCUGGAAGAGUGUGACUAGUGGAUGGAGCUGCUUUCCCUCGAAACCUGCAAGUCAGCUAAAAGUUUCUGGAAAGCUCCAUACUUAGUUGGUUCCUGAUCUAAGAAAGAUUUGGCCUCUGCUUAGGUUAUGGAUGAAAGAGCAGGGUAUGGAGAGAAAACACCUCCAAUGAAACUAGAAUAAGGACAAGGAGUCAAGAGAAGAAAAAGUCAAGGAAGAGCGCAGCUUGGUUUCACUUUGCUCAAAGUCAAGUCUCAAGAUGUGUGAAA